rnacentral:lncRNA from 1 species
UUCCCUUUUGUAUUCAUAAUUAUAAUUCCACCCUUGUUCGCUUCUGCUGCAACACCUUUCCAGUCUCUCCUUAUUUCUCACUUGUUCCAUUCUUUGCCUCAGAAUUCUCAAACUUGCAUCAGCCAUAUUACUUGAUCUCCCUGUCCCAAAUUAAAACAAAAUAAACCCAUUAACUUCAAUUUAAAACUUAAAAGACUUUUAACCUUAAGCCUGCAAACUAUUAUUUU